AAAUCCUUCACCAACACUCUCUUUCUUUGGAGGUAGUUUUACCAGCUGUAAAUGAUCGAGGGAUAGAGUGUGUAGGAGCAUCUAAGCAACUUUCAGAAGAUGCUCACCGAUCUCCUCAGUGUUGGUGAGAAAGUUGAGGAGAAGAUUAGGCCAUUGGUCUUAUUAUCAUCCCUUCCUUCCUCUUUGGAGUCUUUGGUGACUACUCUUCUAGUAGAAAAGUGCACCA
rnacentral:lncRNA from 1 species